ensembl:lncRNA
GAAUUAGACAAAGCCCCCAGUCUGCAAUAGGAUUUUCAUUAUAAUCUUCAUGAAAUAAACAGUCUGUCUAAACAUUGAAGAUCGUCUCAUCCAGCAUGGGCUCCUCGGAAUUGAAGGGAUCCGAAUCAUCUAGGUUUGGAGGUGGACUUCUCCUGUGGGAACAGCACAAAGCCCAGAGCGGACACUGCCUUCCACUUCAACCCGCACUUUAAGAGAUCUCCCUGCAUCAUGUGCAAGAUGAUGCAGAGAAAGCUGCGGCAAGGAAGUUAUCCUGCAUUAGCACGCCUUCACACUGGGGUCAACCUUUGAGAUGAUCGUCCUGGUGCAGAAAGAUUAGUUUAAAGUGAGGAUGACUCUUGUGAUCAGAUUCAGAUGCCUCAUUGCCCAUAUUCGUGAAGCGUCUCAGAGUAGCAGUGCUGAUAUAGGAUCAGUUUGAACUUUUCGACCACAAUGAAUAAGAUGACAUCAUGGACUAUGGGGACCUGUUCCUAGAUCAGCACACUAAGACAUUUGUUACAUACAGCCAAAACCCUUGAUAAAUUGAAAUGUAGAACAUUCAUAAUACUUUUUCACAAAAUGUUAU